rnacentral:tRNA from 1 species
GGGGAUAUUGCUCAGUUGGUAGAGUGUUUGCCUAGUAUGCACAAGGCCCUGGGUUCCAUUCCCAGCACCACCA